AAGUGAAAUGAUGGUGUAUCAUCUUUCGGGACUGACAAUUCAUGGAGAGACUUUUUAAUCUACUUUACUGAUCAUAA
ensembl:snoRNA